CCACCAGUCAUACAAAGAAACCUGCUAGAGAAUUCAGGAUGGGUGACUCAGUACACCCCCUACCAGCCUGAGGUCUCUCAGGGGCGCCUGGAGAGCUUGCUCAAUUAUCAGACCAUGGUCUGUGAUAUCACGGGAAUGGCAGUAGCCAAUGCGUCACUGCUGGAUGAAGGCACUGCUGCUGCUGAGGCCAUGCAGCUCUGCAACAGACAAAACAAAAGAAGAAUUUUCUACAUUGACCCACGCUGCCAUCCACAGACUAUUGCAGUUGUGCAAACCAGAGCCAAGUAAGGAAG